CGGCGGACGGGUGCGUAACACGUAGGAAUCUGCCCGGUAGUGGGGGAUAGCCCGGAGAAAUCCGGAUUAAUACCGCAUACGCCCUAAGGGGGAAAGGUGGCCUCUUCUUGAAAGCUACCACUAUUAGAUGAGCCUGCGUCGGAUUAGUUUGUUGGUGGGGUAAUGGCCUACCAAGGCGACGAUCCGUAGCUGGUCUGAGAGGAUGAUCAGCCACACUGGGACUGAGACACGGCCCAGACUCCUACGGGAGGCAGCAGUGGGGAAUAUUGCACAAUGGGCGCAAGCCUGAUGCAGCCAUGCCGCGUGUGUGAAGAAGGCUCUAGGGUUGUAAAGCACUUUCAGCGAGGAGGAAAGGGAUAAGGUUAAUACCCUUGUUCUGUGACGUUACUCGCAGAAGAAGCACCGGCUAACUCCGUGCCAGCAGCCGCGGUAAU
rnacentral:rRNA from 1 species